rnacentral:rRNA from 1 species
UACGUAGGGUGCGAGCGUUGUCCGGAAUUACUGGGCGUAAAGGGCUCGUAGGCGGCCAACUAAGUCAGACGUGAAAUCCCCAGGCCUAACCUGGGAACUGCAUUCGAGACUGCAUGGCUGGAGUAUGGGAGAGGGAAGUGGAAUUUCAGGUGUAGCGGUGAAAUGCGUAGAUAUCUGAAGGAACAUCAGUGGCGAAAGCGACUUCCUGGACCAAUACUGACGCUCAUGUGCGAAAGCGUGGGGAGCGAUCCGG